rnacentral:rRNA from 1 species
UACGUAGGGUGCGAGCGUUGUCCGGAAUUAUUGGGCGUAAAGGGCUCGUAGGCGGUUUGUCACGUCGGGAGUGAAAACUCGGGGCUUAACCCCGAGCUGGCUUCCGAUACGGGCAGACUAGAGGUAUGCAGGGGAGAACGGAAUUCCUGGUGUAGCGGUGAAAUGCGCAGAUAUCAGGAGGAACACCGGUGGCGAAGGCGGUUCUCUGGGCAUUACCUGACGCUGAGGAGCGAAAGUGUGGGGAGCGAACAGG